GAGAAAGACAAUUGAACUGCUAAUUCAAUACUACCAUGACUGAAACCCAUGGCUUCCUCA
rnacentral:tRNA from 1 species